CAGUCGCCGCGGGAAUACGUAGGUGGCAAGCGUUGUCCGGAAUUAUUGGGCGUAAAGGGUUCGCAGGCGGUUUCUUAAGUCUGAUGUGAAAGCCCCCGGCUCAACCGGGGAGGGUCAUUGGAAACUGGGAAACUUGAGUGCAGCAGAGGAGAGUGGAAUUCCACGUGUAGCGGUGAAAUGCGUAGAGAUGUGGAGGAACACCAGUGGCGAAGGCGACUCUCUGGUCUGUAACUGACGCUGAGGAGCGAAAGCGUGGGGAGCGAACAGGAUUAGAGACCCCAGUAGUCCCUGUCUCUUAUAA
rnacentral:rRNA from 1 species